ensembl:lncRNA
GUGAAAACAGAAGAGAAGCCACCUGAAUAUCAGUAUGCCUCAGAACCUCAGUAUGAAAGUCUUCCGUGCUUUGGUCUGUUUCAUCUUUCUUGCAGGACUGCAGGAUGCAGGAUACUCUGGUUUUGUUAAUGCAGAAACUCCCAUCUAUACAGAAAUGGAGGGUGGAAGCAUCACAGUUAAAUGCACAUUUUCUUUAACUGGAAGAAGGAGACUCUUCUGUACGGGAAAAUGUGAAGAAGGAAACAUUCUCAUUGACACAACUGAUGACUCAGCGCAGAAUGGCAGAUACAGCAUUAAAUAUAAAGAAGGAUUUUAUCCAUUACAUAAGACAGUUCUGAAUGUGAGCAUCACACAGCUGAGAAGAUCUGACUCUGGAAUGUACAGAUGCUCUUUGGACAGAAUUUUGCCAUUUGAUUCAAAUGAAGAAUUUGAGAUUGUUGUCACAGACGCUUCAGUGACCUCAAAACCAAAGUCUACUGUGCAACCUUCGCCAGUUUCAACAUUUCUCUCAUCAGCCCCCAUGACAACAGCAACAGUGACAACAUCACCAAAGACCCCAACAUCACAGAGUUUAAAUUCCAUUUCAGGAGGCACCACACCUUCACCAGCCUCCUCUUCAACCUCCAAACAGACACAGACACCUCUUCCAAAUUUAGUUACUGCAGGUACGCUGCCUGUGGUGGCUCUUAUUCUGAUCACUGUCUUACCAGUGGCUUUGCUGAUUUUCUGCAAGAAGAGGAGGGCCAGUAAACCUAAAGGGCCUCCUGUGGAAACAGAGCCCCCUGACAUUACAACGGCCAGUCAGUUGUAUGAAGAGAUCAGAGAGGAGGACAGAUUGAGCAAUUUACCUCCUGAAGGAGUAUUUUCAAUUUACACCACUGCCAAAUGCCCCCAAGGAAACAGAGUUGAAAGCACAGAUGACUACAGCCUUGUCAUCUGUCCUCAGAACAAAAGUGAAGAGAACUUGAGUAAGCUUGCUGCCACCAACAGCGCCCCCUGUGGCCAUGCAGAUGUUUUGUACUCCACGCCUCAUGUACAUUUCAGCACAGCCAACCACACCAAAGACGCCUCACCUCCUCUGUAUUCUACUGUUGGAAACCAUCAGUAGUAAUGUUAUUACAGGCUUAUUGCUAUGAUAGUUGUAGUUUGUUCAGACCAACUGGUAACACAAACGUUCUUCCAUUAAUCAUGCCAUUGUGAUUUUUAUUAGUCAGGGAAACAAGCAACUGCUGAAAUAAUGGAUUUCAUAGUGGAUCAACAGGCAUAACUGAUUUGUAGCAACCUGAUCAUAGUCCAUUGGAUAGUCCACCUUUGUAUUUAGCUGAGGAGUUUAUAGAAAGUUAGCCUGUAGUUGAUAACUACUUAAAAGUAGUUGGUACUAACUUCACACAACUUUGCACAUGAAGAAAAGUUCUGUUUUAGUGCAAAGGAAAAAAAAUACACGAACAAUAAUCAAUGAUCAAAGGUAAUAAAGUAGUUCACACAAUGAUGAUUGACUGAUGAUUCAAUGACUAAUGAUUAUCAAAUAAUAAGAAAAAUAGUAAAAUUAUAAAUAACAUUUCCAGUGAAGUUUAUAUUAAAGCCCGUUUUUUACAUAAUCUUUGAGAAUUUCUGUAUUUUGUUUGUUACGGAGUAUAGCAUGGUGGGAAAGGACGGAGAGAAACCCCCCCCCCCCCCCCCCCCUAAGUUUUGUUGGUUUUGUUUUUGAGUUUGUUUUGGAUUAAUUGCAUGUUUUUGUGUUUAUUUACGGUUGUUGCACCUGUGUGGGAGGGGAGAUUUUACUCUAGCCCAGCUGCCAGUGAGGCGGAGUUGAAUACAGGGAGCGGCUGAUUGGAGUUCCUCUUUAUAAAGGGGAGAGGAAGCAGGAAGUGUUUUUGUUGUUUUUAGUAGGACCUUGGUGAAGCAGGAGAGCCCCGGAGAUCCAGGACAAAGUGUGCGCAUUUUUAAUAGAAAGGAUCUUUUUUUAGCCUGGCCUGGUUUUUGCUUUUAACGGAACGGAGGACGUGGAAAGGAGGACGUAUUCCUAUGGAGCUGUGAGAGGACGUGCUGGAAAAGAGAGGACGUGCUGGAAAAGAGAGGACGUGCUGGAAAAAAAAGGGACGUGUUGGAAAAGAGGAAAACGAGCACUAGACUGGAGACCUCCUGCGCCCCGAUAAGAAGAACUGGACCAGCUCGGGGAAGUUUAACUGCCGGGAGGUAAUGUGGAGACCCAGCCUCGAACAAAGUUAAAGCCUGAAAAGGCGAAGAACUCGGACCGCGGUGGUCUUUGGGCUUUGGAUCCCUGGCCGGGGUCGUCUUCAGCCGGUAGUUUGCCUAGAGGGAGAACAAAUAAAUUUUGUGUAACC